UACGUAGGGUGCAAGCGUUGUCCGGAAUUAUUGGGCGUAAAGAGCUCGUAGGCGGUCUGUCACGUCGGAUGUGAAAACCCGAGGCUCAACCUCGGGCCUGCAGUCGAUACGGGCAAACUAGAGUACUGCAGGGGAGACUGGAAUUCCUGGUGUAGCGGUGAAAUGCGCAGAUAUCAGGAGGAACACCGGUGGCGAAGGCGGGUCUCUGGGCAGUAACUGACGCUGAGGAGCGAAAGCGUGGGGAGCAAACAGG
rnacentral:rRNA from 1 species